rnacentral:rRNA from 1 species
GACAGAGGGUGCAAACGUUGUUCGGAAUUACUGGGCGUAAAGCGCGUGUAGGCGGCUAUGCAAGUCGGAUGUGAAAGCCCUCGGCUCAACCGGGGAAGUGCACCCGAAACUGCAAAGCUAGAGUCUCGGAGAGGAUCGUGGAAUUCUCGGUGUAGAGGUGAAAUUCGUAGAUAUCGAGAGGAACACCGGUGGCGAAGGCGACACCCUGGACCAGCACUGACACUGAGGCACGAAAGCGUGGGGAGCAAACAGG